rnacentral:rRNA from 1 species
AGCGAACGCUGGCGGCAGGCCUAACACAUGCAAGUCAAACGAAGCCUUCGGGCUUAGUGGCGGACGGGUGAGUAACACGUGGGAACGUACCUUUUGGUUCGGAACAACUCAGGGAAACUUGAGCUAAUACCGGAUGAGCCCUUAGGGGGAAAGAUUUAUCGCCGAAAGAGCGGCCCGCGUUAGAUUAGCUAGUUGGUGAGGUAAAGGCUCACCAAGGCAACGAUCUAUAGCUGGUCUGAGAGGAUGAGCAGCCACACUGGGACUGAGACACGGCCCAGACUCCUACGGGAGGCAGCAGUGGGGAAUCUUGCGCAAUGGGCGAAAGCCUGACGCAGCCAUGCCGCGUGAAUGAUGAAGGUCUUAGGAUUGUAAAAUUCUUUUACCAGGGACGAUAAUGACGGUACCUGGAGAAAAAGCCCCGGCUAACUUCAUGCCAGCAGCCGCAGUAAGAC